rnacentral:rRNA from 1 species
CGCUAGCUACAGGCUUAACACAUGCAAGUCGAGGGGCAGCAUUUUAGUUUGCUUGCAAACUAAAGAUGGCGACCGGCGCACGGGUGAGUAACACGUAUCCAACCUGCCGAUAACUCGGGGAUAGCCUUUCGAAAGAAAGAUUAAUAUCCGAUAGUAUAUUAAAACCGCAUGGUUUUACUAUUAAAGAAUUUCGGUUAUCGAUGGGGAUGCGUUCCAUUAGUUUGUUGGCGGGGUAACGGCCCACCAAGACUACGAUGGAUAGGGGUUCUGAGAGGAAGGUCCCCCACAUUGGAACUGAGACACGGUCCAAACUCCUACGGGAGGCAGCAGUGAGGAAUAUUGGUCAAUGGACGAGAGUCUGAACCAGCCAAGUAGCGUGAAGGAUGACUGCCCUAUGGGUUGUAAACUUCUUUUAUAUGGGAAUAAAGUAUUCCACGUGUGGGAUUUUGUAUGUACCAUAUGAAUAAGGAUCGGCUAACUCCGUGCCAGCAGCCGCGGUAAUACGGAGGAUCCGAGCGUUAUCCGGAUUUAUUGGGUUUAAAGGGAGCGUAGGUGGAUUGUUAAGUCAGUUGUGAAAGUUUGCGGCUCAACCGUAAAAUUGCAGUUGAAACUGGCAGUCUUGAGUACAGUAGAGGUGGGCGGAAUUCGUGGUGUAGCGGUGAAAUGCUUAGAUAUCACGAAGAACUCCGAUUGCGAAGGCAGCUCACUAGACUGCAACUGACACUGAUGCUCGAAAGUGUGGGUAUCAAACGGGAUUAGAUACCCUGGUAGUCCACACAGUAAACGAUGAAUACUCGCUGUUUGCGAUAUACAGUAAGCGGCCAAGCGAAAGCAUUAAGUAUUCCACCUGGGGAGUACGCCGGCAACGGUGAAACUCAAAGGAAUUGACGGGGGCCCGCACAAGCGGAGGAACAUGUGGUUUAAUUCGAUGAUACGCGAGGAACCUUACCCGGGCUUAAAUUGCAUUUGAAUAAUCUGGAAACAGGUUAGCCGCAAGGCAAAUGUGAAGGUGCUGCAUGGUUGUCGUCAGCUCGUGCCGUGAGGUGUCGGCUUAAGUGCCAUAACGAGCGCAACCCUUAUCUUUAGUUACUAACAGGUCAUGCUGAGGACUCUAGAGAGACUGCCGUCGUAAGGUGUGAGGAAGGUGGGGAUGACGUCAAAUCAGCACGGCCCUUACGUCCGGGGCUACACACGUGUUACAAUGGGGGGUACAGAAGGCAGCUACCUGGCGACAGGAUGCUAAUCCCAAAAACCUCUCUCAGUUCGGAUCGAAGUCUGCAACCCGACUUCGUGAAGCUGGAUUCGCUAGUAAUCGCGCAUCAGCCAUGGCGCGGUGAAUACGUUCCCGGGCCUUGUACACACCGCCCGUCAAGCCAUGAAAGCCGGGGGUACCUGAAGUACGUAACCGCAAGGAGCGUCCUAGGGUAAAACUGGUAAUUGGG